rnacentral:ncRNA from 1 species
AAAAGUUUUAUUGUAGCUUAAAAUUCGGUUUUUAGUGGGCUCACAUACGAAAAUUAAACUAGAAGGGUCGAUGUUGUAGUGAUUAAAUUUAAUGAUUAAAGGGAUUUAGAAUUAGAUAUUUAAAGGUGAACAGAUUAAUCUUGUGCCAGCAAUUGCGGUUAAACAGGAUGUUCUUCUGAAUUUGGCUCGGGUGGUAGUGAUCUUCUUUGGGUUUAAGGUAAAAAGGCUGUAUAAGGUGAAAUUUUGCGGUUGAUUAAUUUGAGUUUAAGAGAAAAUCUACUAGAUUUAAUGAUAGACUAGGAUUAGAUACCCUAUUAUUAUAAAUGUAAAUAUGAACUCCUGAGAAGUAUUAGUAUAUUCUUGAAAUUUAAAAAAUUUGGCGGUGUUUUAGUCUAUUCAGAGGAACCUGUCCUGUAAUUGAUGAUCCACGAUUAAUUGAACUUUUUCUUUAAGUUUGUAUAUCGUCGUUAUUUGAAUAUCUUUAAAGGGUUUAAUAUUCAGGAUUUUAAAUUAGAAAUUAAAUCAGAUCAAGAUGCAGUUGAUGGAAGAGGAGAGAUGGGUUACAAUGGAGAUAUUUAUAUGGUUUAAAGAAUGAGAUUUUUUUAAUAAAAAGGAUUUGAUAGUAAAAUGAAUAAUUUAAUUUAUUUGAUUAAAGCUCUAGAAUAUGCACAUAUCGCCCGUCGCUCCCACCACAAGGUGGGAUAAGUCGUAACAAAGUAGGUGUACCGGAAGGUGUACCUAGAAAGA